rnacentral:lncRNA from 1 species
GUGCGGGAGAGACCUUAGCUCCUUGCAUCAUGUCUCCCAAUUCCUCUGAUUUCAGCCUCAGCUGAUGGACAGAUUGUUUAAGAUUGAAGAGCCCAUUCAUGCUUCACGGAGGGAAACGAGAUUUUUUUCAUACAACCUCAGUGAAGGAGACGAUGAACACGGGCUGCUACUGGAGGUAUUACUCCAGGACUUCUGGCUUUACUUGCAUAUAGGGCACGUGGACUUCAUAAUGUUGGAGAAUGUUCUUGGCAGAAAGUAGAAAGAGGUAUGGAGCAUGCUUGAGGUCCUUCUUAUUGGCAGGAAUGUUUUGACAUUAGCUGUUUCAGAAGGGGAAAGGUUGCAUGAUAAACUGAACUUGGAAAAGCAUCCUCUUUGAUUUUCACAAUGAGAUAUGCUUGUACACACAUGAUGCUACAAGAACAGAUUUGUAGCAGCAUUACAAAUAAUGUUUUAAUUACAAGUAAUGCAUUAAUUAUUCCACAGACCUUGGUGCCACUGUUCUCAAGCCUCUGUGAAAGUACUGCCCAUUCCCUCUGCCUCCUUGCUAUAAUUGCCUACAAUAAUCUGCAAUCAAUCUCCCCUUUGUUCAAAUUAUCUGAUUUCAGUAUAUCCUAAAAAUGCUAGGAAAAAAGAUAAAUAUCACCAUAGAUCUCAUUCCAUAUUUAUAUAUGCUGUUGGCAUGCCC